UACGAAGGGGGCUAGCGUUGCUCGGAAUCACUGGGCGUAAAGCGCACGUAGGCGGCUUUUUAAGUCAGGGGUGAAAUCCUGGAGCUCAACUCCAGAACUGCCUUUGAUACUGGGAAGCUUGAGUCCGGGAGAGGUGAGUGGAACUGCGAGUGUAGAGGUGAAAUUCGUAGAUAUUCGCAAGAACACCAGUGGCGAAGGCGGCUCACUGGCCCGGUACUGACGCUGAGGCACGAAAGCGUGGGGAGCAAACAGG
rnacentral:rRNA from 1 species